UUGCAAAUGUUUCCUACGAGGAAAUUGCGGAACUUAACUUUGGUGCAGUUCCUAAGUCAAUGCAAUAUGCAACUAAGUAUGGUGUUAAAAUUUUUAAAGGUAAGACAGCCUCUUCGAAGUUAUCAGUUUAUUUUGAAACUGUACAGCUGGAGCUGAAAUAGUCAACAGACCUCAAAAGCACUGUAGACCCUUCGUGAGAGUUAAAUUCAGUCAGCAAGUUUCGAUUGAAACAGGAGCUUGCAAAAUGUAAAGUAUUUGUGGAGGUGCAUAAUUGAAUGGGAUUUUCAGUUCAUUGGUUGCAUAUGCUCUUCUAAAUUGACUUGGUUCUUGAUGGGAUUUAAUGUGAGCCGCUUUCAAAAGCAUGACACAAGUC